UGAGAAACCUGUCCCGGUCUCUGGAAUAACAAGUGGAAACACUUGCUAAUACCGGAUGACGUCGGUCCAUCGCAUGGUGGACUGACGAAAGGGUUACCGGAUCGGGAGGGUCUCGCGGCCUAUCAGCUUGUUGGUGAGGUAACGGCUCACCAAGGCAUCGACGGGUAGCUGGUCUGAGAGGAUGUCCAGCCACACGUGGGACUGAGACACGGCCCAGACCUCCGACGGGAG
rnacentral:rRNA from 1 species